rnacentral:misc_RNA from 1 species
UACAGAGGGUGCAAGCGUUAAUCGGAAUUACUGGGCGUAAAGCGCGCGUAGGCGGUUGCGUGAGUUGGAUGUGAAAUCCCCGGGCUCAACCUGGGAAUUGCAUUCAAAACUGCGCGGCUAUAGUGUGGAGAGGAAGGUAGAAUUCCAGGUGUAGCGGUGAAAUGCGUAGAUAUCUGGAGGAAUGCCGAUGGCGAAGGCAGCCUUCUGACCUAACACUGACGCUGAGGUGCGAAAGCAUGGGGAGCAAACAGG